ACAACCCGCGGAUAGCACCCCGGACACCAACGUCGACUUGCGCCGCAUCACCCCCUGACCAAACCCUGCCUCUACCCCCUGCCCCCGAGCGCUCUGUCACAGCUACCCAAGACAGACCCCACGCUCCAGUGUCGCCGACCCUAUUAGCGUUCCAUGAUGCAACGGCUGUAAAACAACAGCUUGAAUUCAGAGUACGUACGCUUGAACGUCGUCUUCAUCAGAGUGAAAUACAGAGUCGUCGUCUAGCACGUCAAGCGCGUCAAGCACGUAAAUACCGCCGUUCUGCGAGAAAUAUACGUGAAGAAUUCAUCUUUAAGGACGUCACGAAUAAAGCGCUGGUGUCUGAAGUUCUGAGACUCCUAAAACAACAAGGACCUGGUGGUAACAGACGUCGUGGACUGAUCUGACUGAAGUUCGACCCCAGUAAGGUCCAUUUGGAUCCUCAUUAUUUAAAAGCAGUGAUGGGUGAUUACGGUUUGAGGUUGCUGUUGCACUGCGGGUGAUUGUGUUUUGAGGUCGCUGUUGCAUCGCGGGUGAUUGUGUUUUGAGACUGUUGUUUUGUUUAUUAAAUGUUUUUUAAUUAUUAUUUUAUUGUUAUUGUUAUUAUUGUUAUUACGCUAUGGCCAACCAUGAUGGUUUUCCUUCCGGUUCUGACCCUGAAUCCACACACAACCAGGACACUACACCAAACCUCAUUGACCAGAGUGCUUCACCAACACGUAUGUUUCUGUCUCACUUGUUUGACAACGUGUCUGAGGAGGAUGUAGUGCAGGUCUAUGAUCCGAGUAUAAAUGAAAACAUGGAGUCAAUUUUUUUCGGCGAGAGAGAGGAUAACCGAAUUUUAAAUAUGGUUCCUGCAUCAUCUCGUGAGGGUAGGGCUGAUACCUCUUUAGACAAUGGCGAUCGGUUAGAAAGGUUUGUUGAUAAUCUGCAGACGACUGAUUCAGGGACAACUGCUCUUGACCCUCUGGUAGAUGUGUCUGACUCUAACUGUAGUGAUGACAAUGUUGAUGAUGACGGUGAUUCGCUUCAGGAAGGAUGUUGUAUUAGAGGUACCGGUAUUGAAUCAGAAGUCAUAGAGCCUUUUAACACCGAUAGGAUAAGAAGGGUGCUAACACGUCCUGCUGUACCGGACACUCCUGAUUUAGCUACUUUCUACAGAGGUUGGAUGCAACAGGUCAGGGAGUUGGCUGAUGAAGCGCAGAGACUGGCAGAUCGAGAGGAUGUGGUUCAGCUUGAAG